rnacentral:rRNA from 1 species
GACAGAGGGUGCAAGCGUUGUUCGGAAUUACUGGGCGUAAAGGGCUCGUAGGCGGCCAACUAAGUCCGACGUGAAAUCCCCAGGCUUAACCUGGGAACUGCGUCGGAUACUGGAUGGCUUGAAUUCGGGAGAGGGAUGCAGAAUUCCAGGUGUAGCGGUGAAAUGCGUAGAUAUCUGGAGGAAUACCGGUGGCGAAGGCGGCAUCCUGGACCGACAUUGACGCUGAUGAGCGAAAGCUAGGGGAGCAAACGGG